rnacentral:rRNA from 1 species
GAUUGAACGCUGGCGGCAUGCCUUACACAUGCAAGUCGAACGGCAGCACGGGGGCAACCCUGGUGGCGAGUGGCGAACGGGUGAGUAAUACAUCGGAACGUGUCCUGUAGUGGGGGAUAGCCCGGCGAAAGCCGGAUUAAUACCGCAUACGAUCUACGGAAGAAAGCGGGGGAUCGCCAAGACUCGCGCUAUAGGGGCGGCCGAUGGCAGAUUAGCUAGUUGGUGGGGGGUAAAGGCCUACCAAGGCGACGAUCUGUAGCUGGUCUGAGAGGACGACCAGCCACACUGGGACUGAGACACGGCCCAGACUCCUACGGGAGGCAGCAGUGGGGAAUUUUGGACAAUGGGGGAAACCCUGAUCCAGCAAUGCCGCGUGUGUGAAGAAGGCCUUCGGGUUGUAAAGCACUUUUGUCCGGAAAGAAAACUUCUGCCCUAAUACGGCGGGAGGAUGACGGUACCGGAAGAAUAAGCACCGG